rnacentral:rRNA from 1 species
CAAAGGAAGCGAUUCCGGCGGGGGAUGGGCAUGCGGCGCAUUAGCUAGUCGGCGGGGUAACGGCCCACCGAGGCGACGAUGCGUAGGGGUUCUGAGAGGAAGGUCCCCCACACUGGUACUGAGACACGGACCAGACUCCUACGGGAGGCAGCAGUGAGGAAUAUUGGUCAAUGGGCGGGAGCCUGAACCAGCCAAGUCGCGUGAGGGAAGACGGUCCUACGGAUUGUAAACCUCUUUUGCCGGGGAGCAACGGGGUCCUUGCGAGGGCCCAAUGAGAGUACCCGGAGAAAAAGCAUCGGCUAACUCCGUGCCAGCAGCCGCGGUAAUACGGAGGAUGCGAGCGUUAUCCGGAUUUAUUGGGUUUAAAGGGUGCGUAGGCGGGCUGUUAAGUCAGCGGUCAAAUGUCGGGGCUCAACCCCGGCCUGCCGUUGAAACUGGCGGCCUCGAGUGGGCGAGAAGUAUGCGGAAUGCGUGGUGUAGCGGUGAAAUGCAUAGAUAUCACGCAGAACUCCGAUUGCGAAGGCAGCAUACCGGCGCCCGACUGACGCUGAGGCACGAAAGCGUGGGUAUCGAACAGGAUUAGAUACCCUGGUAGUCCACGCAGUAAACGAUGAAUGCUAGCUGUCCGGGACUUCGGUCCUGG